AGUAUACUAUUUACCCAAUAUGAAUGAAUUUUGGUUGAAGAGGUGUUGGGCUGGGGGAAUUCUUCAUAAUGAAGCUGCCAGGUGUCCUCCUCAGGGACCUUUAGGUCAAGUGCAUUCUUUCAGGAUGAACAAUUUUGUAGCAAAGGUACAGGAGAAGAGAACUGCUCUUUCUUCCCAACACUGCUCUCAGUCCACUUGCUUUGCUUGGGGAACCUUGCUUGGAUUCCAGGCUUCUGUCCCUCAGCACUUCCAGGCUUCUGUUCCUCAGCAAUGCUUUCCCUGCAGGAAAGCUGUGGUUUGGAAAGCAGAGAAGCCCCAUUAGCCAAUAAGUGGGCAUAUGGAGUUAACUACUUGGACCUGUAGGAGAGGGUCCAGAGGAGGCCACAGAAAUGAUCAGAGGGCUGGAACACCUCUCCUAUGAAGACAGCCUGAGAGAAUUAGGGUUGUUCAGCUUGGAGAAGGCUCCAGAGAGACCUUAAUGCAGCCUUUCAAUACUUAAAAGGGACCUAUAAGAAAGAUGGGGACAGACAUUUUAGCAGGGCCUGUUGUGACAGCACAAAGGGUAAUGGUUUUAAACUAAAGGAGGGGAGGGUGGGCCAGACAUGAGGAAGAAUUUUUUUACAAUAAGAGUGGUGAAACAGUGGCACAGGUUGCCCAGAGAGGUGGUAGAUGCCUCAUCCCUGGAGACAUUCCAGGCCAGGCUGGAUGAGGCUCUGAGCAACCUGAUCUAGUUGAAGAUGUCCUUGCUCAUUGCAGGUGGUUGAACUAGAUGACCUUUGUAGGUCCCUUCUAACCCCAACUGUUCUAUGAUACUAUGAUUCUAUGAUUCUACAGUUCUAUGAUUAUAUUGCAAUGGGCUGCACAGCCUGGCUAUGCCAGGACUAAAAGGCAGCCUUCUACCCAGUCAAAUGACAGUGCUCACUCCAAGCUGCUUCCCUCUCCCCAGUGUAGCUCUGGGACUCCUUUUUCCCACGUUACGCUGCUUAGAUGUUGGGAAAGUACAGCCCAGGGUGUACUGGGAAGUUCAGCUGCCGUUCUGCUACUGAGAAUGCCCCUUGUGGCCUUUCCUCGGGUGCCAAAUGCUUCUGACACACAGGAGGAAAGCUCUUGUCUAUUAUUCCCUGCGAGCUGAGGCAAGCUCUUGAACCAGUGGAACAUCACUCCCACUCCAUCUUUGGCUGCCAGCAGUGGAGUGAUUUAGCCCUGCAUCUGACAGAUUCACCCAGGCUGGUUUCAUGCACCCCCCACCUCACAUUUUGAUUUAGUCCCCAGGAGCACAUGACAGAGUUGGGAGGCUUUGCUAUUUAUUCAGUUCCUCACUGUUUGCUGUGCUGACAGCUGGCGUCACUGCCCUGUUGGGAAUCUUGGCUCCUGAAGCAGUAGCUCCAUUUCUUGUCUGCACCUUGACGAUGUGCAUCCAGGAGAUUGCCCCUGUGCUGCAGUGACUGCGCUCAAUCCUGAAGUUUGCAUACAUUUUUGAGAUUCUCCUGUUCAAGCAGUGAUAGCACCCAGUUAAUGUGUUUACUCAGGCAGAGAAAAGGCUUCGGACAUUGGUGACUCUAUUAUUAGGGUGGCACAAAGCAAAUCACAAAAACCAGAAAAAGACAUGUUGCCAAAUGUCAGAAUGCAGACAGCUAAAGUAAAAUCAAACAUGGAAUUUGUUCUCAUUUAAUGAAGAAAAGCCAAUGAUUUAUAAGGCAGAAGAUGGGAUGGUUUGUUCAACCAGAGAGAAAUUGUGCAUGAAGAAGUUCAGACAAGCUUUGCAGAGAGAGGCUUCAGCACUCAGAAGAUCCUGUUUGACCACAAUAGCAACCAACAUGUUGGCUAGUAUUCUUAUCACUGCAGUUAUUUCAAAUGGUUUUCUAGAAGCUGCUUCUCCAUUCGUGCCUGCAAAACCACAGCAUCCAACAGCUCAGAGACAGAUGUCAUUGGGGAUCCCUGUAGCAGAUCGACCAGAAAGGAUCCUGAAAUUGUUGUCGUUGUUUGAUGAAGCACAAAAAAGUGCCAUUCCCACAGCAGAACCUAAAAUUAGUAGAAUCAAAGGAAGGUGCAAAUGAAGGUCCAUCUAAUCCUCUGCCUGAACUGAACAAGGACCUCCUGGAAAUAAGUCCUUUACAUGGGAAGAACUUUUGGAAGCCUUCACUGCCAACCUCCUGGAAACUUAAGAGAGCUUGCUUUUGGAAAUACUGCAUUGAGCACAAGUAGUGUUUAAUCUUCAAACUGGGGGAGUCAUGCUGAAGACUAAGAUACCGAAGUGGAGAAAGAAACCUUCAAACCUUCAGGAGUUUUCUACACAAGUGGUUGAAGAGCUAUUAACAAAGUAACUGUCUAACCAUAUUUGCCUUGCGUAUAAUAGGUGUUUAAAAGGAACAGGUAAAAAUGGUAUUUAAAAAUUGUAACAUAGUAAAUCCAUUUUUUUGUACAAGCAAUACCACACAGAAGACUACUUGUGCUAAUACCUAAUUAGAAAUCAGUAGCUCUGUCUCCACAAAUGUGCCUUUAAAGAAUGGAACAUGAUCUCUGUCCUGCCAUGGAAUCAAACACUACAAAUUUGUGUCUAGAUAGUACACCUUAUUGCGUGUCAAGGCCACUCAGCUGAUGAUACUGUUAACACCACAAAUUGCUUUUUCUCUCCCUUCAACUUACCUAAUUUGUUCUCCAGUAAAUCAUUUUUUAAAACAAAUCUUCCAAUAGUCUCUUAAAAACAGAAUAACUCGAAUGUGGACAAAAGUAUUUUCCUAAAAUAAUGUGUUUUAAGAAGGGCCAGACUCAAAUACUCAAAAUAUGUAGGAGAUAUGGAUUCAUUCACUGUGGGAUUGUGUGGACACUUUAUCUGACCCCAUCCUAGGAAAAAUGUAGUGACUGCAGUUUUCUGAUACACUGGUCAUUUCUGUGACUUCUCUACUCACAUCUUCUCCCUCUGUUGUCAGAAAUAUACAAAUACCAACCAUAACAUACUGUUUUAGGUGGCAUCAUGUGUGCCAACCAAUCCAUCAUGGAAGGCUGGAGCCAUAAACUUCUUUUGCAUGAGCAAGAGGAGUAAGGAAACCACAAAACAUUAGGUUUGAAAACUAUCAGUGGCCACAAGCAUUUAAUCAAAUAUAUUUCCAAGCGGUGUAAAGACUUUAGGGAAAACAAACCAAACCAAACCAAAAGAAACAACUCUGCUGAGUGUCGGAGGCACUUUUUUCCUUUCACCUGACAGUACUGGAAGUACAGGCAUGUACUUUCUAAGGUAACGCCUUAGAAAAACAUGACAAGGCAUUGAAGGUUAAAUGAAUGAUCUGGACACCAAAAGAAAUUUCAUGGUGUCUAUAAACCAUAAGCAUGGGCAUAACACAAAGUAGCACGUCGUUUCAGGCAGAUGUGGCUCUUGCCCUCGUCAGCUGGCAAUGGGCUGUUACAGAACCCUGGCACACCAGCUCCUGAGCUGCAGCCAACCCCAGACAUGGACACGGGUGCUGUGUUUGGGUUUGCAAGGCAGGCAAGGCCAUGCCACAGGGUGGUUGUUACCAUGGGUCAAGGGAAAGGAAGCCAGUGUGGGACCCUGUGGAAGAAAAGUGUUUGUUCUAAAUGGCAUGUAUUUUACCCACUUUUGGUGUCCCAUGGAUCAUCUGCACCCAGAUGUCCACCCAAUCUGUGUGUGAAGUGGCAGGCCAGUGCCACCAGCUGUGAGGUCCUGGCACAGCUCUUGAGUUCUUCACUGGUGACAACAAACUGUUUUCUGGAUGUGCCUUUUAUACCCCCUAGGGAUCUGUCAGGAACUUUAAGUCAAAGGCAAAAUUCCUGCUUCCCAUUGUUCUGUUGUGUUCUUUAUCAGGCUGUUUUAUGGCUCCCCUCCUGUUCCUGCUUAUCACUUUACCUUAGCUUGAGGCUUCAGUUUGUCCUUUGCCUUCUUGCUACCAGGUCUUUUGAAUGAAUUUACUUAUACAAUGCCCCGUAGCAAUUAGCCUAAUCCUUUUUUUUAAGCCCUGCUGCUCUGUGUCUUCUGGUGCUUUCACACACAUAUUUUAAUUCAUCUUCACCAACCUCAAGACUUGUGUUACAAAUACGCUGACCGUGCCAAAAAGUGUUAUUGUCAUCAAUGUCCAGGCUUGAUUUGGAGACAUAUGCCGUUUCCCACAACCAGCACGGCCACUCUGUUUCCAGGAGGCAGAAAAGAGCUGUACAGAUGUGAACCACAUGCUCUCAGGGCCAGAGAAUAGCCCAGACUCUCUGUUACUUAUUGACGCUGAACAGCCAUAACUGCAUAUAUGGUGAGAAAUGAGAGAGGGACAGGAGCAGGCUCAUGCAUUUGGAUUGCUGCAAGAGCUGCCAAGCAGCGUGGAUGGUCCCUGGCUGCUCUGGGUCAUCCCAAGUGGAUCAAUCCAAGACCAAACAGUUACAAAUAUGGCCAGCCCCAAACCACGGGUUCCACGGGUGUGGAACCGUUCGUGCUAGGUGGCUCAGUGAUCACAGAUCACACUCUGACCCUUUGUUUUUUUUAUUCAUCAGUGAUGGGCACAGCCAGUGUGUACUGUUCCCAAGAUCUCACUGCAGGUCUGUGACAUAAGUGGUUCCUCCAAAAUCAGAGCUGGGUUAAAUUUUGCUUCUUCUUUCUUGAAAUCCAGG